AUUGAACGCUGGCGGCAUGCCUUACACAUGCAAGUCGAACGGCAGCACGGGAGCAAUCCUGGUGGCGAGUGGCGAACGGGUGAGUAAUGUAUCGGAACGUGCCCAGUCGUGGGGGAUAACGCAGCGAAAGCUGUGCUAAUACCGCAUACGAUCUAUGGAUGAAAGCGGGGGAUCGCAAGACCUCGCGCGAUUGGAGCGGCCGAUAUCAGAUUAGGUAGUUGGUGGGGUAAAGGCCCACCAAGCCGACGAUCUGUAGCUGGUCUGAGAGGACGACCAGCCACACUGGGACUGAGACACGGCCCAGACUCCUACGGGAGGCAGCAGUGGGGAAUUUUGGACAAUGGGCGCAAGCCUGAUCCAGCAAUGCCGCGUGCAGGAUGAAGGCCUUCGGGUUGUAAACUGCUUUUGUACGGAGCGAAACGGCUUCCACUAAUACUGGGGGCUAAUGACGGUACCGUAAGAAUAGGCACCGGCUAACUACGUGCCAGCCGCCGCGGUAAUAC
rnacentral:rRNA from 1 species